rfam:Triticum aestivum genome assembly, contig: Triticum_aestivum_CS42_TGACv1_scaffold_112246_2AS
AAAGUACUCACUCUGUCCCGAAAUGCUUGUCAGAGAAAUUGAUGUAUCGAUAUGUAUUUUAGUUCUAGAUACAUUUAUUUUUAUUUAUUUCUGCGACAAGUAAUUUUGGACGGAGGGAGUACGUG